GACAGAGGGGGCAAGCGUUGCUCGGAAUUACUGGGCGUAAAGGGCGCGUAGGCGGGAUGGCAAGUCGGUCGUGAAAUCCCUCGGCUCAACCGAGGAACGUCGAUCGAUACUGCUGUUCUUGAGGAUUGCAGAGGAGACUGGAAUUCCCGGUGUAGCGGUGAAAUGUGUAGAGAUCGGGAGGAACACCGGUGGCGAAGGCGGCUGCCUGGCCUAGAACUGACGCUGAGGUGCGAAAGCGUGGGGAGCGAACGGG
rnacentral:rRNA from 1 species